rnacentral:lncRNA from 10 species
UGGGAGAUUAAUCCGACACGAUCAGCAGGGAAAGCACGUGUGUUUUUAUGAGAAUUAUGCCGAGAUAGGUAAAGGAAAAUGACAGUCAAAGGGGGUUUGUUCUGUGGCGGGGAGGAGUGGGGGUCGCAAGGUGCUCAAUGGGGUGCUUUUUGAGCCAGGAUGAGCCAGGAAAAGGACUUUCACAAGGUAACGUCAUCACUUAAGGCAAG